GAGUUGCAAAACUCCCAAACCAUUGUGAACAUACCUUCAACGUUGCUUCGGCGGGUUGGCCCCGGUCUCCGGGGUCCCCGGCCCUACUCGGGCGCCCGCCGGAGGUAUCUAACUCUUGAACUUUUAUGGCCUCUCUGAGUCUUUGUACUUAAUAAGUCAAAACUUUCAACAACGGAUCUCUUGGUUCU
rnacentral:misc_RNA from 1 species